rnacentral:misc_RNA from 1 species
UGAUUCUCCUUGACCAUGAUGAUGACGUUUUUAAUCGGAAACAUGGUGAGCUCCGUUCGAGUUGCUUGCCCAUUAAACGAGGCGGCCACUUUGUCAGCCUAUCGUCGACUCCGCAGGCGGCCGGCGUGGCGCGUCGCAAGUUGGGACGUGGUCGCCCCAGGCGGCACGACCAUGCCAACUGCAUCGUUGCCCGAGCAGUUUCCUAAACGUAAUGCCAAGACGUCUGACGCGUUC